rnacentral:snoRNA from 1 species
GCCAACAUACUUAUAUAGGAUAUGUUCUAUAGACUAGUACCUUUGUGUCCUUGAGACCUAAGGAGAUAGGAACUAAAGUCUGGGAGAUGAACCUUGGCCGUGUAACCAGAGUGUGAUUAACAGCUCUGGUUGGGUCCCUUUGAACCCCUCUGGGUCGUAGAGGAUCGUUCUCAAUCUGAGUCUCCAGCGGGGAUGGUCACACAACGAUCUGACAGACU